rnacentral:rRNA from 1 species
CACGUAGGGUGCGAGCGUUGUCCGGAAUUAUUGGGCGUAAAGAGCUCGUAGGCGGUGUGUCGCGUCGGCCGUGAAAACCUGCAGCUUAACUGUGGGCUUGCGGUCGAUACGGGCAUCACUGGAGUUCGGGCAGGGGAGACUGGAAUUCCUGGUGUAGCGGUGAAAUGCGCAGAUAUCAGGAGGAACACCUAGUAGCGAAGGCAGCUCGCUGGGACGACACU